rnacentral:lncRNA from 1 species
UGGGGAUGAAGUUGGAGAUGGGGAUGGGGAUGAAGACAGAGAUGUAGAUGGGGAUGGAAAUGAAGAUAAGAAUGGAGAUGAGGUUGGGGAUGGAGUUGGAGAUGGGAAUGGGGAUGGAGACAGAGGUGCAGAUGGGAAUGGAGACAGGGAUGGAGAUGAUAAGAAUGGAGACGAGAUUGGAGAUGGGGAUGGAGCUGGAGAAGGGGAUGGGGAUGGAGACAGAUGCAGAUGGGGAUGGAGACAGGGAUGAAGAUGAUAAGAAUGAAGAUGAGGUUUGAGAUGGAGAUGAGGAUGAAGAUAGAGAUGGGGAUGGAGAUGGACACGGACAUCAGGAUGGAAAUGGGGAUGGCAGUGAUGAGGAUGGAGCAAUUUAGAGAAAUAGAGAGAGCCCUUGAACCAG